rnacentral:lncRNA from 1 species
CUGGCGUGAAGCUGGGGGCUGACGGCUGGCAGGGCAGAACAACUUCCAGUAAAAGAAGGCACUGAGGUUUAAGUGCUACGUGGGAGCAGUUGCCGAUUUUUGCAAUGGGAGGCUGCAUAGAUUCAAGGUGGAACCAUCUAGUUGCAGGAAAACAAGCUCAGGGCUCCUGUUGAUUCUAUAUUAUGUGUGAGAAUUCGAAGAGAUUCAAAGACUAUAUCACCACCAUGGUCUUGCCAGAAUCUGCCCUCUGAGUCAUUUCUUAAUCUACUGAUUAUCUGUAGAACCAGCCUUAUAUAAACAAGGAAGCAUCUAGCAGGACUUCCUUGAGUGCUCCAGGAGCUUGUCAUUCCAGAGACAGAGCAGCCCAGAAGUCCUGGGAUUUACACCUCUAGUAGAAACCCUCAACCAGAGAAGGAUGGAAGUCAAUGGGUGACCCUGCAGCCUGUGAGACCAUCUUGGCCCUUGUCAGGGCAGCCAUUUGCCAUUGCAGAUGAAGGGUGGGGGAGAGGCCAGAGACUCCUUCAGACUGUGUUGGAAAUGUCAUGAAAAUGGAAAUUCUCACAACCUGAGAGUCAUAGACCUGGAUUUGGGUUUCUGCUGUGUCAUUAAGUUCUUGCAAACCAG